rnacentral:tmRNA from 1 species
GGGGAUGUUUUGGUUUUGACAGCAUCGAUUCGGGACAGUAAGCACGCCGUGAGUCGGAAGCCCUCACGUAAAUCUCAGUUUCCGAAAAAUUAGUUGGCAACAACAAUUAUGCACUCGCUGCCUAAUCUACCAAGUAGUUUAGCUUAAUCCGGUCCGCCAAGGCUGCGGGCCCGACGAGUAUCCCUCCGCACUUUAUGCCGGUUAUGAGCGGAAAUAGGGGUAUCAAUCAAACCGGAUGCAUGCGGUAAUGCCUCUGAAUCCGCAUUAAGACGUAGAGGAUAAGUUUAGGAUGGCCCGUCUUCCGGCAGCCCUAUUCCGACAAACAAAGGAAGAAUAAACGUGUAGAAAGCUGUUUUG